rnacentral:rRNA from 1 species
UACGGAGGGUGCAAGCGUUGUCCGGAAUCACUGGGCGUAAAGGGCGCGUAGGCGGCUCAUGAAGGCUGUGGUGAAAGUCCGGGGCUCAACCUCGGAUCGGCCGUGGCGACUCGUGGGCUGGAGCACUGUAGAGGCGGGUGGAAUUCCGGGUGUAGCGGUGGAAUGCGUAGAGAUCCGGAAGAACACCAGUGGCGAAGGCGGCCCGCUGGGCAGUGGCUGACGCUGAGGCGCGAACAGCGUGGGGAGCAAACGAGG